rnacentral:lncRNA from 1 species
UAGCAGACUGUUGUUUGUGGAUUCUGAGGGUAUGUAGCAGACUGUUGUUUGUGGAUUCUGAGGGUAUGUAGCAGACUGUUUGUUUAUUCUGAAGGUAUGUAGCAGACUGUUUGUUUAUUCUGAAGGUAUGUAGCAGACUGUUGUUUGUGGAUUCUGAGGGUAUGUAGCAGACUGUUGUUUGUGGAUUCUGAGGGUAUGUAGCAGACUGUUGUUUGUUUAUUCUGAAGGUAUGUAGCAGACUGUUGUUUAUUCUGAAGGUAUGUAGCAGACUGUUUGUUUAUUCUGAAGGUAUGUAGCAGACUGUUUGUUUAUUCUGAAGGUAUGUAGCAGACUGUUGUUUAUUCUGAGGGUAUGUAGCAGACU